GUUCCCUUGGUCUAGUGGUCAUGACGUCAGCUUUACACGCUGAAAAUCCGCGGUUCGAACCCGCGAGGGAACA
rfam:Catenaria anguillulae PL171 BCR44scaffold_107, whole genome shotgun sequence.